GAAGAAUGACAUCUCUGGAUAGGGUAAAAGUGUUGGUUUUGGGCGAUUGUAGUAAGAAAUAUUAUUCAAAUAAUUUAUCGAUUUUUUUUCCGAUUUUUAAAUUUCCUGAAAUAUCAUGCGAUUUAUAUUUAGAAUGUGAGUUUGCUUCAUAAUAUUCGACUCAAACCAGAGGUGUUAGAUUACCAUAUUAGCUUCAAUUUCUGAAAUAUAUCAUUAUAUGAAUCAUGAGGAUAGCUAUUAAAAUGACUUUCAUCCACUUAUGAUGUUGUACUUUUAUGUUUAUUCAAAUAUAUUGUGUGAGCCCUAGACUUCCUGUUCUGCUAAUUGUUAUUUGAUGUUUGUUUACUUUACAGGUUACAUAAAAAGUCCUCUCUUGUACAUUUACUUUGCCAGAAUCAAGUUUUGGGGAAUCCAUCAUAGACUGUUUGCUGCUCAGUGGACAUCAGGGCGCAUGACUUCAGAUAGGGCACUCCAGAAGUGAAGACUUUCUACAUUGAACUCUGGGAUGUUGUAGGAUCUGUUGGCAGUACCAGCAGUGUAAAAAGCACCAGAGCUGUGUUUUACAAUUCUGUGAAUGGUGAAGUAUCAGGCUCAACCAGGGGAGUGAGGUAUUAUUUUAGUUCAUGAUCUGACCAAUAAGAAAUCCUCCCAGAAUCUUUACCGCUGGUCUCUGGAGGCACUGAGCAAAGACUCCUCCCCUACAUUGAUCAUCGUAUCUAAUGGGGAUUAUGAUGGAGAACAGUUUGCAAAGAACUCUGUUCCUCUCUUGCUGAUUGGCACCAGAUCCCUGAAAACAAGAGAAAUUAUGUUCUAACACACGCUGCAUUUCUGUCUGAAGAUUUUAACGCUGAAGAGAUCAACCUGAUGCAGAGUUUCACAGACAGGAGGCGCUUCAAUUUCAAAAGUGUACACAAUGACUGAGUGUAUUCACUUUGCAUGUUGGUGGGUUUUGUCCUGUCCAGUUUAUCAUGACAGAAUGAUGUAGAUAUCUCAUGUUCUGAUAUAUUUGUGUUCACAAAUUAUAUGUUAAUUAUAUGGCCCUAAUCCAAAAUUGGUUAAUAACCGAUGUUUACUCUAGUUUUUUGCUUUUGCUGUUCUUUCUAUCUUCUUGCUUCAGACCUUUUUUGCUUCUUUGGCAGUACAGCUACUGGAUCUCCCACUGUCUCUGCUGCUAAAGCAUGAUAAAUAUGUAUGUUUCAUUGAGUUCUUUCACUCUUCGCAUCACCAAACAACACUGCUCUAAGCAUAGCCAAGCCUAUCUACAUAGGUGGCAGCCAAUGAGCGCAAGGAUUCUCUUUAAAGUUUAGUGAAACACCGCGUGUCAUGUGAUUUCAACAUGGCGACCAACAUUGGGGGUGACCUGCACCAUAUAUAAUACAAAUAUUAUGAGUACAGUCUUCAUCUCAUGUGAGUGUUCACCGUUCAGAUUACUCUUCACAAAAACACAACUCAUUCGUUAAUGUGUAAAACAUUUGAAAUUACUGAAUGCUCCUUUAAGGUGAAAUGUUUAUUUCUGUAAUUACCUGAGUCUACUUGUACUUCAUCUUUGUAAUUAGUCGGUUGCCAGUCAUUUGAAAGUAAAGAUGAACACUAUCAUAUAUUUACAGAUUUUAUUGUUGAUCAUUGUAAUAAAAAAGUAAGUUCAAAAGAUAAGUCUUUGCUAUAUUAGCAAGCUGCUCAUAUUAUGCAUGUAAGUAGAGCUAUUUACUUGAAACAUCAACAAAAAAUAAAG